AAUCUGCCCAGUAGUAGGGGACAACUCGGGGAAACUCGAGCUAAUACCGUAUAUUUCCUAAGGGAGAAAGACUUCGGUCGCUAUUGGAUGAGCCUAUGUCAGAUUAGCUUGUUGGUAGGGUAAUGGCCUACCAAGGCGACGAUCUGUAGCUGGUCUGAGAGGAUGAUCAGCCACACUGGGACUGAGACACGGCCCAGACUCCUACGGGAGGCAGCAGUGGGGAAUAUUGGACAAUGGGCGAAAGCCUGAUCCAGCAAUGCAGCGUGUGUGAAGAAGGCCUGAGGGUUGUAAAGCACUUUCAGUAGGGAAGAUAAUGACGGUACCUACAGAAGAAGCACCGGCUAACUCCGUGCCAGCAGCCGCGGUAAUACGGAGGGUGCAAGCGU
rnacentral:rRNA from 1 species